GUCGGUGGUUAUAGCAUUGGGGACACGCCCGGUCCCAUUCCGAACCCGGAAGCUAAGCCCAACAGCGCUGAUGGUACUGCACCCGGGAGGGUGUGGGAGAGUAAGACACCGCCGACC
rfam:Corynebacterium vitaeruminis DSM 20294, complete genome.